CCGCCAUAUUUACGAAGUUACGGAGGUUUGGAUUUCAAGGUCAUUCGGGAGAGCCCCUACGAUUUCCGUCAAAAUUUGUAUACGGGCCCUUUUGGAGCUCCUUAUUACGAAUAUCACAAAAUUUAAGCUCGGCCCGCCAUAUUUGCGAAGUUACGGAGGUUUGAAAUAAAGUCUGGCUGGGUACGAUUUUUGCACUAUAAUGUUUCACACUCCUAUUUUCCAACCUUGCUCCAAUAAUGAUAACGCGUGAUAUCAUUAUUGCGCGUGAUGACGUGUGAUUUGCAUCAGUUGGGUUGGCGACUUAUGGGUGGUGGAAUUGAAUUUGUCGGUUAUGUUGAUGUGCUGCAUAAUAAUUGCGAGGAUUUUGAUUAAGUGACAGGGAAGUGAAGUAGAAGGCGAAGGAAUGGCAAUGCAAUUGUCAAAGGGGUGAUGACUGACGUGAUGCCCGUCAUCGAGGAGCAGCUGGUGUUGAAGCGCAGCUGCUGGGUGCGCCUGAAGCGCGGCAUCUUCAAGGACGACAUCGCACAGGUGGACUACGUCGACACCGGCCAGAGCUCCGUCCACCUGAAGCUGGUGCCGCGCAUCGACUACUCGCGCUUGCGCGACACGCUACGGGACAAGGAUGCCGGCGGCGGCGACGACAGUGCGCCGGCGCACAUCUCUAUGGAGGUGGACACGGCGACCCGUGGGCGACCGCCGCUGCCGCGGUUUGCUACAGGUGGCCAUGGCCACUAAUCUGUCACGAACUUCUGACAGUGAACGCCAGUCGGUUCUCGGAUGUGAGGACGCGCCCGUCGAAUCAAGUGACGGGAUAUGCACCGUGUGACAGUGUGCGUUUUCCGGGCGAGUUCGUUGCGCUGUGUGCCGGUCGUGCGCGGGACUGGUACCACCCGUCGUUCCACCAGUUCUCAGUGCUCCAGCGCGCCGUGUGCGAUCUCAGUGCCGCCGCCGAGGAGAAUGUGUGCCGCGAGCUGCCGCCCGAGGACCUGCCGGCGCUGACCCGGCUGGAGCCGCUGGCUGACGGCGCGCUGUCGCUGCGUCCGCCGACCCUGCGCCGGCCGCGCCGGGAGGCCGAGCUGCUGACCCAGCUGCAGCAGCUGGUGGCGGCCCUGGACGGCGCCUGCCUGGUGGCGGGUGGCAGCUGCGGGCGCCACGUGACGCAGUCUGCGCUCUCGGUAGCGCGCCACCUGGAGCCGCAUGCAGACCGCGUUGCCAGAGCUGCGUCGUCUGACGUCGGGUCUGCUGCGACUGGUGACGCGCCAGAGGACGCGCUGGUCACCGCCGCGAGCCCGGAUCGAGACGGACACGGAGACAGUUCCGAACGGAGCCUCCCUCACCAGGUGGGUCCUGCGGCGCCAAUACUCGUCCGCAGGUGGGGCGAGAUGGAUAGGUAUCUGAGCACUUGGGAGGGCAGUUGUCGGGUGAUGACCCACGAGGUCACGCAAAGUAAGGGGAAGUAACAUGAGUAUGUAAGUGAAACCGCUUGAUUGCGAUGACCUCAUGUGACCUCACCUAACUUCCGUGUGACCUCCCCGACCGUAGGACAAUGCGUGAUCUUGUUUUGUUUGUUUUGUUUGCUCGGUUUUAUUGAAUAUUUUCACAUGCGUAGACAUCAUACACUACAGUCCGGGAUCGGUGCAAAAGCUUUUCAGCUUAUUUCAUGGCACCUCUCCUCACACACACUAGCUCAUUCACACGUCAUUCACGACAAGAAAAAACUUGUUUGACUUUGUGGGGCGUCGCCAGACUUAUUAUAGCUCAUCUGACCUCUACUGAUUCUUUGUGAUCUCAUAUGACCUCUAGAGACUUCGCAUGACCACGUGAGCUUUCCUCAACCUCCUUUUAUCUCGCUGAACUUUGAGUGGCUUCUCCCACCCUCGCCUGACUUCCUGUGACCUCGUAGGACCUCGUUGUCUUCGUGUGACUACCUGUGACAUUCUUUUGUUUUCCUGUGACCUAUACCGACUUUUGUGACCUCGCCUAGCUGUAACCUCGCUCCUGUCAGCUUCUGUCAGCUCCCGUAAGCUCCUUGCAGCUCCCGUAAGCUUCUUUCAGCUCCCGUAAGCUCCUGUUUUCUCCUGUCAACUUCCGUGGACCUCUUGCAGCUCCCGUAAGUUCCUUUUAGCUCCUGGCAGCUCAUGACAGCUCAUGACAGCUGCCGUAGGCUCCUGGCAGCUCCUGUCAGCUCCCGUAAGUUGUAUAUCUGAUCCCACCCUGACCAUAUUCCUGCCCUCACUUUCUUUGACUGUCCAUUGUUCGUCGGUCGCCAGGAGAGCUUGACGCUGCUGCGAGCUUUACAGGGCUACUAGCGGUACGUCACGUGCUGCUGGUUUUCUAGAGACGGAUGUUUGCUGAUAUUAGGCUGUUAAGACUGAGCCGUGAUGCUGUGGCCGGUGGGAGUGCCGGCGCCGGUCGUGGUGGACCCGACGCCCAGCGCUCCGCUUCGCGCUGCUACCACACAGGUCUCUGAAUGGAGCUGCGUUCCGGUGGGCGGCUGGCUGCGCUCUCUCGGUCUGGCCCAGUACGCCGACGCGUUCGUCGCCCGCUCUGUGGAUGGCGCCCGGCUUCUGGGGCUCACCGAACAGGCUAUGGAAGACGAGCCCGACGUCGGUCUCGACGUGGCGACCUCGAAGCCAGCGUGUUGGGUCUCGGCUUCCCGCCACUCACCGGCGGACCUUUCCGCUUCGUGGACCGCAUCGGUCCCGCACAGCUAGUCAAGGACAUGGAGCACUUGGCCGUCGUCAAUGGCGUCGGCUUCGAGCCGUGCCUGACCGUGCACUACCAGGCCGCUAGCGGCACCAAGUUCUGUUCGGCCGGGCCUCGUGUAAUGCCCACAUGUGAUGACCGAGUGUAUACGCAUGUGAAGCCGCUCCGCGUGUGUGCCAGCGCUGGGCGUGUUCAGUUUCAAAGUAAAUAUAGAACCGUGGUGAUCAA